rnacentral:lncRNA from 1 species
UAUUCAUUUUGAUCAUACAAUACCAUAAAAACUUUUAUCUUCAAGAGGUGUUUUGGAGGCAAAAAUCUAGAAUCUCCUAGAUUAAAGAUGCGGAUACCAAAAUCAAAUAUUUUCAUCACUCUAUCAUCUUGAGACAUAGGCACAAUUGGAUCACUCAAAUUACUGAUCACCAAGGAAUGCUUAUUUCGAAGGAGGAACACAUUAGAUCUUUAUUAUUUAUCUAGUUUCAGUAACAAUGGCUUGCCCA